UGGGGAAUUUUGGACAAUGGGCGCAAGCCUGAUCCAGCAAUGCCGCGUGCAGGACGAAGGCCUUCGGGUUGUAAACUGCUUUUGUACAGAACGAAAAAGCCUCUUCUAAUACAGGGGGUGCAUGACGGUACUGUAAGAAUAAGCACCGGCUAACUACGUGCCAGCAGCCGCGGUAAUACGUAGGGUGCAAGCGUUAAUCGGAAUUACUGGGCGUAAAGCGUGCGCAGGCGGUUUUGUAAGACAGAGGUGAAAUCCCCGGGCUCAACCUGGGAACUGCCUUUGUGACUGCAAGGCUGGAGUGCGGCAGAGGGGGAUGGAAUUCCGCGUGUAGCAGUGAAAUGCGUAGAUAUGCGGAGGAACACCGAUGGCGAAGGCAAUCCCCUGGGCCUGCACUGACGCUCAUGCACGAAAGCGUGGGGAGCAAACA
rnacentral:rRNA from 1 species